AUGCACGCUGGCGGCGUGCCUAAUACAUGCAAGUCGAGCGAACAGACGAGGAGCUUGCUCCUCUGACGUUAGCGGCGGACGGGUGAGUAACACGUGGAUAACCUACCUAUAAGACUGGGAUAACUUCGGGAAACCGGAGCUAAUACCGGAUAAUAUAUUGAACCGCAUGGUUCAAUAGUGAAAGACGGUUUUGCUGUCACUUAUAGAUGGAUCCGCGCCGCAUUAGCUAGUUGGUAAGGUAACGGCUUACCAAGGCAACGAUGCGUAGCCGACCUGAGAGGGUGAUCGGCCACACUGGAACUGAGACACGGUCCAGACUCCUACGGGAGGCAGCAGUAGGGAAUCUUCCGCAAUGGGCGAAAGCUUGACGGAGCAACGCCGCGUGAGUGAUGAAGGUCUUCGGAUCGUAAAACUCUGUUAUUAGGGAAGAACAAAUGUGUAAGUAACUAUGCACGUCUUGACGGUAUCUAAUCAGAAAGCCACGGCUAACUACGUG
rnacentral:rRNA from 1 species